rnacentral:rRNA from 1 species
GACGAACGCUGGCGGCGUGCCUAAUACAUGCAAGUCGAACGCAUUUUCUGUCACCGUUGCUUGCUACACCGAUAGAAAAUGAGUGGCGAACGGGUGAGUAACACGUGGGUAACCUGCCCAUCACCGGGGGAUAACACUUGGAAAUAGGUGCUAAUACCUCAUAAUUCCAUUUACCGCAUGGUAGAUGGCUGAAAGGCGCUUUUGCGUCACUGAUGGAUGGACCCGCGGUGCUUUAGCUAGUUGGUGGGGUAACGGCCUACCACGGCUGCGAUGCAUAGCCGACCUGAAAGGGUGAUAGGACAAGCUGGGACUGAGACACGGCCCAGAAUACUGCGGGAGGGAGAAGUAGGGAAUCUUCGGCGAUGGAAGCAAGUCUGAACGAGCAACGACGGGUGAGUGAAGGAGGUAUUCGGAUCGUAAAACUCUGUUGUUAGAGAAGAAUAAGGAAGAGAGUCGAAAGUUCAUCCCUUGACGGUAUCUAAACAGAAAGCCACGGCUAACUACGUG